CCUUUGAGAAGAAAAAGUAGUAUCCCAACAUCUUUAGGAUACCUUAUGAAAUCAGCUCUUAUAGAUCUAGCCUCUAAAUUGUCUGCCUACUAUCGCUUGACAUGGGCUAGACAUCUCCAAAUCUUAAGAUGAUCAAGACUUGAUCUCUUACCAUAUCAUAUCUCAUAUGGUGUGAUAGGAACAAAUUUAGAGAGAACCCUAUUCAAAAGGUAAAUUUUAAAAAAUAAAACAUAUCUCCAAAGAAAUAAAGAUAAAUCAG
rnacentral:lncRNA from 1 species